CCGUACCGUACCGUGCCAACAAGAUAACGGCACGAUACAGACCCCGUGCCAAUGGCACAGCUCAAAACCCUCUAUUUUUUAAAUUAGUAAGUAAUUUCCUCAAUAAAGUUCAAAAGAUGUGAUAAAAAGACAUAAUAAAUAGUUAGAAUAUUUUGUUGCUAAAGAAAAUAAAUAUUUCAUGCUAUUAUGUGUCGGCACACAAGAUUAUUUUUGACCGGCACGCAUCGGCACGGCUCGGCACGCACCGUGCCAUACCGUGCCGGCAAGUUUCCGACACGACCCCGUGCCACGGCACUUAAAUC
rnacentral:lncRNA from 1 species